rnacentral:tRNA from 1 species
GUCCCCAUAGUUUAAUGGAUAGAACAAAGCUCUCCUAAGGCUUAAAUCCAUGUUCGACUCAUGGUGGGGACA